CUCUGCAGUGAUAGAGGAAAGCCCUUGCUGGCUUUACAUCUGCUGCCCCAUCAGCCACUGUUGCCUCUUGGGCUCUCCACUAUGAGAAAGUUAUUCAGAACAGGGAGCUUUGAAGAUGGCUGCUGGUGUAGGCACAUUUCCCUGAUACGAAGCAGCAAUUCAGCUGGAAGAAGCCCUGCAGAAGGGAGAGCAACGCAGCAAACACCAAG